rnacentral:rRNA from 1 species
GCGAAAACUUUACAAUGCUGGCAACAGCGAUAAGGGAACCUCGAGUGCCAGGUUACAAAUCUGGCUGUCGAGAUGCCUAAAAAGCAUUUCAUAGCAAGGGCCGGGCAAGACCGGUGCCAGCCGCCGCGGUAACACCGGCGGCUCGAGUGGUAACCGUUAUUAUUGGGUCUAAAGGGUCUGUAGCCGGCCGGAUAAGUCUCUUGAGAAAUCUGGCAGCUUAACUGUCAGGCUUUCAGGAGAUACUGUCUGGCUCGAGGCCGGGAGAGGUGAGAGGUACUUCAGGGGUAGGGGUGAAAUCUUGUAAUCCUUGAAGGACCACCAGUGGCGAAGGCGUCUCACCAGAACGGACUGACGGCAAGGGACGAAAGCUAGGGGCACGAACCG